UUUGUGGAGGUCCUGAAUUAAUUAAGGAUAUCAUGCAAUCGAAUUAUUGCGGUCCUGAAAUUUUUCAGGAGGUCAACGAUUUAUGGAUAUCCUGAAUACGAAUAAUGGAGGUCCUGAAAUAUUUUGACUAAAUCUGCGCCAUAUACUUAUAGAAGAGAAUUAAUAUAUAUUUUUCUGCUAAAUGUUAUAUUAAUAUCUUAAAACAGUUUUUCUUUUUCAGCCUAUUCUUCGACUGUGCUAAAUGCAGGAGAAACAUGUACCACGUUUACAGAGGAAAAGUGUAUGAAUGAACAAAAGAAAACUGACCUUAUAGAUGUAUAUCUACAUGUAUUAUUAGGAAACAUUCGGACCUUAUUAAUGUAUUGAAAUAUGUCUGUAAAAACGUUCCAUGGAAUGUAAAUUUGUAAAACCACUACAUAUAUUGGAAUGAAAUAUUCAUUGUACAACUUUCAAACAUAUAUAAUGUGAAACAUAUUUGAGCAUAUUUCUACCAAUGGAUUUCCUAUUAUACAAAUCCAAUUUGUUAAAUAUUUUGGCAAAUAUCUUAUGUGCAUAAUCAACUCUGAACAUACUUUUUGU